GCCUUCAUGGUGGAAUUGGUAGACACGCUUGUUUUAGGAGCAAGUGCUUAACGCGUCUCGGUUCAAGUCCGAGUGAGGGCA
rnacentral:tRNA from 1 species